rnacentral:rRNA from 1 species
UACGGGGGGGGCAAGCGUUGUUCGGAAUUACUGGGCGUAAAGGGCUCGUAGGUGGCCAACUAAGUCAGACGUGAAAUCCCUCAGCUUAACUGGGGAACUGCGUCUGAUACUGGAUGGCUUGAGAUUGGGAGAGGGAUGCGGAAUUCCAGGUGUAGCGGUGAAAUGCGUAGACAUCUGGAGGAACACCGGUGGCGAAGGCGGCAUCCUGGACCAACACUGACACUGAGGAGCGAAAGCCAGGGGAGCAAACGGG